UACGUAGGGUGCAAGCGUUGUCCGGAAUUAUUGGGCGUAAAGAGCUCGUAGGCGGUCUGUCACGUCGGCUGUGAAAACCUGGGGCUCAACCCCGGGCCUGCAGCCGAUACGGGCAGACUAGAGUUCGGCAGGGGAGACUGGAAUUCCUGGUGUAGCGGUGAAAUGCGCAGAUAUCAGGAGGAACACCGGUGGCGAAGGCGGGUCUCUGGGCCGAAACUGACGCUGAGGAGCGAAAGCGUGGGGAGCAAACAGG
rnacentral:rRNA from 1 species